rnacentral:lncRNA from 1 species
AAAAUACACCAAGACUUUGUAGUGUUUUACUCUAGGUAAAAUAUCAUCUGGUUUAAAUUAAAAUGAGAUUAUCUUAAACACGGCUGCAGUUCACAGUGCCAGGAAUUAUUCUCCUCACUACCCUCUUCAGUCGAAGGGGGGUGCAUUUUUGAUGUCUUCUAGGUGGAUAUGGACACUGAGGUGCGCGCGCACGGACUCCUGCACGCUGCCUUAGGUUACGCACACAAGCUCAGAUGUACAGGACUAUGUUUGGAACGCAAAACAAACAUGGCCUGCUCUCCUUCAGAAGCUUGCAGUGUUGGUUGCUGCUGGAUGCGUUGUGUGCAGCUGUGGGGAGUGUCUCUGUACUGAGGAAAUUCUUCUCAGGAAGUGGCGUAUAGUACCUGACCAACAACUACCAGCAUUGUUUCUGGAGCUCUGCCACACCCUCACGUAG